AAAGGUGUUUCUUCUUUCUUGAAAUGAAAGUUCUUGAAGUUCACCGGAGUCACAGAAGUUGGUAAAUAAGCAUUCGAGCAAGAUACAUUCUAUUACCCAUUCUAGUCUUAGGUUGCGGUAUGGCUAAUCUUAUGGGACAUUGUUCUCACUCCUGGUUUCCAGAUCUUCCUUUCAAACUUUCGUUCUGAGAUACAAUUUUUAUACAGUAUUUCAUUAUAUGUCUGGAGUAAGGAAAACAUCAGCGGCCAAAGUGGCGAGAAGGGUUAUUGAUGAUGUUUUCUGGCACUUUCGUAUUUGUAAAGUGGACGUCUGUUCCAUUAUUCUAGUCGUAUUUAGUUCUGAGUAAUAUGAGGAUUCUGUAUAUUUAACACAUGCUCCUUUUGCCC